rnacentral:lncRNA from 1 species
UCCUUCCUUCCUUCCUUCCUUCCUUCUUCCCUCCUUCCCUCCAUCCCUCCCUCCCUUCUGUGUGUGUGUGUGUGUGUGUGUGUGUGUGUAUGUGUGUGUGUGUGUGUGCUCGAGCAUGCUUGCACUUUCUCACUAACCUUCAGUCUCAUUCCUAAGUGCUGUCCACCUGGCUUUUUGAGGCAUGGUCUCUCACUGGGACCUUGCUGGCUGACUGACUAUCCUGGCUGGCUGGUCAGUGAGUGUCAGGGAUCCCCCUGUCUCUGCCUCCCCAGUGCUGGGAUUACAGGCACACCAAUAACACUCAGAUGUCAGGAUGAUUUCCUGAGUGGUUUCCAGCAGGAUUACCUUCAUCCCUCCUGGCGCUGGGAUUGGAGAGAGGACCAGAGAUGCACAGGUCUGUUCUGGAAAUGGAUACCCAAUGGAUGCAGAGCAGAGAAGCACAGCCUAUGUGGCUGCUUGUUUUGAGUGCCUCCUUCUUCACCCUGUUUUCUGGAACCCUGAGGACUUCUCUCCAUCCCUAAGAGGCUGAGAUGGCGGUGAGGUUUGACUGGCGUCCCUAAGGGGCACCGAAGGAGGCUGCAGUUUGAAGAGAGGAGCACCAGGGUCUUCACAGGCACAGCUGAACUCCUGACUCCACUGCUCCUUCCCUCCCUCUCGGGUGGCGGGACGCCUCCCCAAGAUAAGAGCCAUCAAUCAAGUACUUUGUCAGAGUGCUAAGCAAGGAGCUAAUUCAUGCCGCGAGGAAACUAUUUCUAUACACACUGUGAAAUAAAACAGAG